CUUGGUCAUUUAGAGGAAGUAAAAGUCGUAACAAGGUUUCCGUAGGUGAGCCUGCGGAAGGAUCAUUAAAGAGACGUUGCCCUUCGGGGUAUACCUCCCACCCUUUGUUUACCGUACCUUUGUUGCUUUGGCAGGCCCGUCUUCGGACCGCCGGCUUCGGCUGGUCUGCGCCUGCCAGAGGACCCAAACUCUGUCUGUCUGUGUCGUCUGAGUACUAUAUAAUAGUUAAAACUUUCAACAACGGAUCUCUUGGUUCUGGCAUCGAUGAAGAACGCAGCGAAAUGCGAUAAGUAAUGUGAAUUGCAGAAUUCAGUGAAUCAUCGAAUCUUUGAACGCACAUUGCGCCCUCUGGUAUUCCGGAGGGCAUGCCUGUUCGAGCGUCAUUACAACCCUCAAGCUCUGCUUGGUAUUGGGCUCUGCCGGUCCUGGCAGGCCUCAAAGUCAGUGGCGGUGCCAUCCGGCUCCAAGCGUAGUAAUUCUUCUCGCUUCGGAGGCCGCGGUGCGUGCUAGCCAGCAACCCCUAAUUUUUUCAGGUUGACCUCGGAUCAGGUAGGGAUACCCGCUGAACUUAAGCAUAUCAAUAAGCGGAGGAA
rnacentral:rRNA from 1 species